rnacentral:rRNA from 1 species
GAUGAACGCUGGCGGCGUGCUUAACACAUGCGAGUCGAACGGAAAGGCCCAAGCUUGCUUGGGUACUCGAGUGGCGAACGGGUGAGUAACACGUGGGUGAUCUGCCCCGCACUUCGGGAUAAGCCUGGGAAACUGGGUCUAAUACCGGAUAGGACCACUUCUCGGAGGUUGUGGUGGAAAGUUUUUUCGGUGUGGGAUGAGCUCGCGGCCUAUCAGCUUGUUGGUGGGGUAAUGGCCUACCAAGGCGUCGACGGGUAGCCGGCCUGAGAGGGUGUACGGCCACAUUGGGACUGAGAUACGGCCCAGACUCCUACGGGAGGCAGCAGUGGGGAAUAUUGCACAAUGGGCGCAAGCCUGAUGCAGCGACGCCGCGUGGGGGAUGACGGCCUUCGGGUUGUAAACUCCUUUCGCUAGGGACGAAGCGCAAGUGACGGUACCUAGAGAAGAAGCACCGGCUAACUACGUG